rnacentral:lncRNA from 1 species
UGUGCCUUCUAAGUUUUAAUUUAUCGUAGGACAUGUAGACAAAUCCCUUCCAUUCGGAACAAAUCUGAACUUAAGUAAUGUUAUGCAUAUGGGCCCAGACAAAAAAUCUUGGCCAAAGAUUGCAUGAAAUGCAUUUAAAACGAGAUAGUACUGACUUGAUAUCAAAAUAGUGCAGUUUAGUGAUCAUUAUUUAGAUCCUGGUCCUGGUAC